AAGACUAUACUUUCAGGGAUCAUUUCUAUAGUAUGUUACUAGAGAAGUUUCUCUGAAUGUGUAGAGCACCGGGCUACAGU
rnacentral:snoRNA from 1 species